rnacentral:lncRNA from 1 species
UUCUCCUGUCUCUGAGACCCAGCACAACGUGAGGCAUACAGCAGGUGUAUUAGCAGGAUCUAGAAUACGGCAAACAGGCCUUAAACAGGGUGAUGAGGCCCAUUCCAGCCAGGUGCCUCCUCUAAACCUACAGUCAACUUGAAAAGCCCGAAGUGCUUUCCCAGAGCACUGCCUGAAGUUUGCCGUUCACAGCCAGGGAGACUUGUGAAGAGGACUGAUCCCACAGCUCCAUCUCUAAAGAGCAGGGUUUCUUGAUGAUCCCAGGAUGGGUACACAGCCAUGGGGCUCAGGGACUACCCCUGCCUCUGCCCUAUCCAUGCUCCAACGGGACAGACACAUGCCACUGCAACCAGAGAUCCUCAGCAAUCCCACUCCGUAAGGACACCUGAAAACCUCACCACCAGUCCCACCCUAGGAGAUGGAUAUUCCCCCUCUAACCUCCAGGGUGGAGAAGCAGGGUUCAAACAGGGGGCCUCAGAGCGGUGCUUCCAAGAGAAAGCGCCUUGGAAGCCAGGCUAAGGAAUGGAACUUUCUGCUCUGGGCAAUGGCGGAGCGGGGGGACAUCUACUGCCCCACCUCACCCUGUGCCGGGCAUAGGGACCUUUCAUGCUCACUCAACAAAUCCCAAUACCACCAGAGUACCCCAAAUUCCAGGAGCAAGUGGACUUGACGAGUCCCCACAUUCCCAGAGGCCUCUCAUCCCACCCUGAGAGAGAAGCAUCUCAGAGUAGGCAACAGUGUUGAUGCUUUUCCUUCAAGAAGCAAUGGUCCAGGGGCAUUCCCUGCAAGAUACUAUCUUCUGGCCUCAUUUCAAGAACCCCAGCUAUCCUCACUCACAAACUAGCCUGAGACCCCCGCUCCAACCCUCUCUUUAAAAUUAGUUCUAGGCACAGGAAGCUCCUGGAAAACUGAAUAAAAACAAAUGCUCAGAGGGAAAUGUGGGACUCCUGCCAGGUCGGCCAACCCCUCCUGACUGAUUUACAAGGCUGCAAAAUGGUACUUUGUUCUGCAAAUCCCCUCCCCUCCUUGCCCCGCCCUAAUACUCAGGCCUUGGCGUGCAGCAGCUUGGGGGCCACAUGCAGAACCGCAUGUGCAGACGACUUCCUUGACUGAAACUCAACACAGGCUGCGUGGCCCAGGGCCCAAAACACCAGGGGGUGGGAGGUGUGUGCUGAGGGUGGAGCCAUGUGCUCAAAGCUGGGAAAUGGAGGUCACUCAAGGGAGCUUGGGGCACUCCUGUGAUGACUACAUACAGAGGGCAAGUGAGACAGGAAGCCUCCAAGUGACGCCUGUCUGGUGGCCUGGGGAAGGAGGGAGGGAGGGAUGCUGGCACUGGUUUCAGCAAGACAGGGGCUUCUGUGCAAACUAUGGAGUAACCCGGGUCCCUCUGGGGCCAGGUUUCCCAGAGGGAAUUUCAGCAGCAACAACAAACUAAAGAUAUAAAUCAGGAAUGGAAGCGACCGGGGGAAUGUCAUCACCCAGAUGGAAAGGCCAAGACAGACAGAACUGGGGUUCAAAGAAGGGAAGGGGACAGGAAGAGGAUUCCUGGUUUCAUAUGCAGACCACAGAACAGAAUCAGUUUUGGAGAACAGGGGCUCUAAUUGUGCAGUUUAGAGAAAACAGAGCUGUUGCUACGUGAAGAGGCAGAACCAGCUGACGUUAAAAAUAGGUUUGGAUGACACACAGGAGUGACACAAGAUCCCUGCCUUCAAAUAGUCAGGGGGCCAUCGUGUGGGAGGAGGGAUGGAUGUGUCUCCCGGCACCAAUGGACGGCCCUGGGUCCAACAGUAGAUGCCCCAAGCUACAAAAAGCUUCUUGGCUGCCUCAGAAGGGGGCGGGCUGUGAUAAUUUGGGGUCGCUCCCAGCGGAGACAUGGCACAAACCAU